CAAUUCAGAUCUGUUUCGUCCUUAUUUUUGAGCCACACCCACCGCUGAGAGGCGCUACACUUAAAAACACGUCCCCGACUCCACACAACCACCUACUUCUCCGAUCCUCCUCCUCUCUCUCUCUCUAUCUCUCUCUGUCUCCCCGUUUCGCUUUCGUAACCACUCAUCCGUGUCAACUCCUAUUGUACAUUUGUCCGCAACAUCAACUAGUCUCAACAAAAACAACAACGGCAGCAACCGCCGCCGCUCCCAGAUAAAUUCCUAGAAAGGAGGGAGAUUGAGGGCCUCAAGCAAUUCCACCAGGUCAACUCCAUUUCCAUUUGAUAGUUUCUGAUCUCUGAGAAAUUCUUUUUUGAGCUACCUGUAAUUGUUAGCGAAUCGGCAAAAAUUUGUGGAAAGCUUCAUUUAUUGGAAAUAAAUUUCGAAUAAAAUUGGAGAUUUUUAGCCUUGUCUCUGUCUAUAAAUUAACAAAUUCCUGGAACAUUGAUUGAGUUACAUCCGAAGUCGAGCUAGUUUGUCAGCCAGAAUGGAGGCCAAGGUUGCACAGAGUUUGCUACUCCCAUCGUGGAACGGUUUGGAGAAGAUGACAAAGGGUCCAAGCGGUUCGGUGCGGUUUUCUCGAAAAUUCAGAGAACAAGACAAGUCUCAGGUGCUGAUAUCCGCUCAAUUGCAGCCUAACACGAGGAUUUCAAAUCGGUACAGAACGGUGUCGUUUGAGGUUUCCUGUUCUUAUAAGAACUUUCCAGCUUCAAUUUUGGAAUCUGGAAGCUUUCAAGAUCCUUUUGAUGAAGCUCCAAUUUUGAAGAAAAAGUCACAGGAGAUCAAGACAUAUUUAAAUGGACGCUGUAUAUAUCUUGUUGGUAUGAUGGGGUCUGGGAAAACAACGGUGGGCAAGAUUUUGUCACAUGUACUUGGUUAUUCCUUUUUCGACAGUGACAUGCUGGUGGAGGAUGAUUUUGAUGGAACUUCUGUAGCUGAAAUAUUCAAGCUCUAUGGAGAAGGCUUCUUCAGGGAAAAAGAGACUGCAGUUCUGCGAAAACUGUCUCUAAGGCCUCAACUUGUUGUUUCUACUGGUGGAGGUGCAGUUACUCGGCCUAUCAACUGGAAAUAUAUGCAGAAGGGUAUAAGUGUCUGGUUGGAUGUUCCUUUGGAAGCAUUGGCCCGUAGAAUUGCAGCUGUAGGAACUGGUUCUCGCCCCCUUUUGCAUCAUGAUGCAGGUGAUGCAUACACAAAGGCUUUCACACGGCUGUCUACUCUUCUGGAAGAGAGGAGUGAAGCAUAUGCCAAUGCAAAUGCAAGGGUUUCCUUGGAAGAUAUUGCAGCCAAACUAGGACAUAGAGAUGUAUGCAAUCUCACUCCGACUGUGAUUGCAAUUGAGGCACUCGAACAAAUUGAGGGCUUUCUACAGAAAGAGAAUGACCAUUUUGCAUUCUAGUUCAACGAGCUUCCAUGUACAAUUGGAGCAUGAUCUGUAUCCACCAAUUUGCUGCGAUGGUAGAAAACCACGGGCUCGUUAUUCUUUUCUAUUCUCGUACACAACGACCUCUCCGUUUCCCAGACAAGAAUUCCAUCAGCCACUGCCUUCUCUACGCGCGAGUUGCAAUUUUAAUGGAAGUUCUUGUUCCAGACAAAUAAAGAGAUAAGCAUGCCAGUGUGACUUCAUUGAGGAAGAUGAACACAAAACCCCAGCAUCUGCAGGACUCCAGAUAAUCUCAAUAUGGAGGGAGAACAUUAGUUACGAAUCAUGGAAGCUGUUGCAGAUAUGGUGAAGUUGAAGUGUCUGAAUCAUAAAUCAUGAUAGAAGAUGCAAACGACGGUCAAGG